ensembl:lncRNA
CUCUGGAGAGACUAGGCCCUGGUUGAGCUUAAGUCGAGAUUUCUUUCCUCAAGGCGACUCUCAGACCUGCUGCCAAAUUUAACACCUCAGGCUAUUCAGAAGUAAAGAUGACUGAAUCUCAACACUUGAGCUGGAGGUAAUCAUCGCAGGUGUAUCCAGUGAAGAUGGAGGUGCCUUGGUCCUGUUGUCUGACACCUACAAUGAAUAAACCGUCCCUGCAGCUGUGGCCAUGGACAUCAGUGCUGAAGAUCUUCCAUCACACUGAAACUAACACUGUCCAUUGUACUGAGCUGUUGCUGGAGGAAUUUUUUUUUUUUUUUUUACUGGUUACAUUUUUUUUUAUUAAUUCAGUGUUCAUGAAUGUUCAUGUAAAUUUCAAUUUAAAAUGUGUUCUUUUUAAUAAGUUUUGUAAAAAAUUAAAUAAAAAUUGCAUUCUAUAAAAGUAAAAUAAAUAAAGUCUGAUGCGUCUUAUCACCUCCCUACCUUUAAAUACAAAUGCUUAAUGCUGCUGAUCGUAAUGCUACCAAGUAUGUUAAAC